rnacentral:rRNA from 1 species
CCUACGGGGGGCAGCAGUGAGGAAUAUUGGUCAAUGGACGAGAGUCUGAACCAGCCAAGUAGCGUGAAGGAUGACUGCCCUAUGGGUUGUAAACUUCUUUUAUAUGGGAAUAAAAUGUUCCACGUGUGCGUUUUUGUAUGUACCAUAUGAAUAAGGAUCGGCUAACUCCGUGCCAGCAGCCGCGGUAAUACGGAGGAUCCGAGCGUUAUCCGGAUUUAUUGGGUUUAAAGGGAGCGUAGGUGGAUUGUUAAGUCAGUUGUGAAAGUUUGCGGCUCAACCGUAGAAUUGCAGUUGAAACUGGCAGUCUUGAGUACAGUAGAGGUAGGCGGAAUUCGUGGUGUAGCGGUGAAAUGCUUAGAUAUCACGAAGAACUCCGAUUGCGAAGGCAGCUCACUGGACUGCAACUGACACUGAGGCUCGAAAGUGUGGGUAUCAAACAGGAUUAGAUACCCCAGUAGUC